CACGUAGGGUGCGAGCGUUGUCCGGAAUUAUUGGGCGUAAAGAGCUCGUAGGCGGUGUGUCGCGUCGGCCGUGAAAACCUGCAGCUUAACUGUGGGCUUGCAGCUGAUACGGGCAGGCUUGAGUUCGGUGAGGGAGACUGGAAUUCCUGGUGUAGCGGUGAAAUGCGCAGAUAUCAGGAGGAACACCGGUGGCGAAGGCGGGUCUCUGGGCCGAUACUGACGCUGGAGGAAGCGGAAAGCGUGGGGAGCGAACAGG
rnacentral:rRNA from 1 species